GACGAACGCUGGCGGCGUGCUUAACACAUGCAAGUCGAACGAUGAAACCUAGCUUGCUAGGUCGAUUAGUGGCGAACGGGUGAGUAACACGUGACUAACCUGCCCCUUUCUCUGGGAUAACGCUCCGAAAGGAGUGCUAAUACCGGAUACUCACACCAAGGCACAUGCCUUGGUGUGGAAAGUUUUUCGGAAAGGGAUGGAGUCACGGCCUAUCAGCUUGUUGGUGAGGUAACGGCUCACCAAGGCGACGACGGGUAGCCGGCCUGAGAGGGCGACCGGCCACACUGGGACUGAGACACGGCCCAGACUCCUACGGGAGGCAGCAGUGGGGAAUAUUGCACAAUGGGCGCAAGCCUGAUGCAGCGACGCCGCGUGAGGGAUGAAGGUCUUCGGAUUGUAAACCUCUUUCAGUAGGGACGAAGCGAAAGUGACGGUACCUAAAGAAGAAGCACCGGCUAACUACGUGCCAGCAGCCGCCGUAA
rnacentral:rRNA from 1 species